UUUUGACAUUCUGUUGAAAUGGAGGCUGAUUCUUCUCCUUUUCAAUCUAGCUUCUAUUGCCUUGAUUAAUUAAAUAUGAUGGAAUUGCUGCUGUAUGACUUCUAAAGAUAUGUUAUAAAAGGCAAUUCAGCUUCCGUCUUGGAGUCCUGGGCUUGGAGCCCUGAACUACCACAUAAGAAGUCUGAGUCCCUUGUGUCCACUAUACUAUGUGGAAGCCAAACUACAUGGAGAGGCCACAUGGAGGCUACCCAAUCAACACUACUCAUCUUUGAAUCUCCACAGCCCAGGUCCCAGGCCUGUGAAUGAAUGAGCCUUCAGAUGAUUCUAGCCUCCAGCUGCCAAGCUACUCCUAAGCUUCAAGUCUUCCUGAAACCAGUAAAGGACAGCCACUGCAUUUUUGUCUAAAUUCCUGACCCCCAGAAUCUCUCCUUCCAACAAUAAGUGGAGUCCAUCGUCCACCCCUUAAAUCUAGGCCAAGAAUGAGACAGAAGUGAAGGUGUGCCUGUUCUGAGCCUAGGCCUGAAGAGGCCUUGUGCACUUCUGCUCUUGCCUCCUCCUUGAGCUUGGGCUAGGCUGAUGGAGAAUUAUUGACCUACACAUGCUUAUCGCUAAUUAGUCAUGUGAAAGAGAUCUGCCUGGAUUAUCAGAGGUACCUACUUAAUCUGCAGCUGACCACAGGUGUAUGACUGAGUGAGCCCAUCUAAGACCCCAC
rnacentral:lncRNA from 1 species